rnacentral:rRNA from 1 species
UGUAGCAAUACAAGGCAGACGGCUCAGUAACGCGUAGUCAACCUACCCUAUGGACGGGAAUACCCUCGGGAAACUGAGUAUAAUGCCCGAUAGAACACUAUACCUGGAAUGGUUUGUGUUUCAAAUGAUUUAUUGCCGUAGGAUGGGACUGCGGCCUAUCAGUUUGUUGGUGAGGUAAUGGCCCACCAAGACUAUUACAGGUACGGGCUCUGAGAGGAGUGGCCCGGAGAUGGGUACUAAGACACGGACCCAGGCCCUAUGGGGCGCAGCAGGCGAGAAAACUUUGCAAUGUGCGAAAGCACGACAAGGUUAAUCCGAGUGGUUUCUGCUAAAGGAACCUUUUGACAGUCCUAGAAACACUGUUGAAUAAGGGGUGGGCAAGUUCUGGUGUCAGCCGCCGCGGUAAAACCAGCACCUCAAGUGGUCAGGAUGAUUAUUGGGCCUAAAGCAUCCGUAGCCGGCUCAGUAAGUUUUCGGUCAAAUCUGUACGCUCAACGUACAGGCUGCCGGGAAUACUGCAGAGCUAGGGAGUGGGAGAGGUAGACGGUACUCGGGA